GCCCGGGUGGCGGAACCGGCAGACGCGCACGACUCAAAAUCGUGUGGACAUAGUCCAUGGGAGUUCGACUCUCCCCCCGGGCA
rnacentral:tRNA from 1 species